rnacentral:rRNA from 1 species
AACGAACGCUGGCGGCAGGCCUAAAACAUGCAAGUCGAACGAACCUUCGGGUUAGUGGCGCACGGGUGAGUAACGCGUGGGAAUGUGCCUCUGGGUGCGGAAUAACGUAGGGAAACUUACGCUAAUACCGCAUAAUAUCUACGGAUCAAAGAUUUAUCGCCCAGAGAUCAGCCCGCGUUAGAUUAGGUAGUUGGUGAGGGAAUGGCUCACCAAGCCUACGAUCUAUAGCUGGUCUGAGAGGAUGAUCAGCCACACUGGAACUGAGACACGGUCCAGACUUCUACGGGAGGCAGCAGUUAGGAAUAUUGGACAAUGGGGGCAACCCUGAUCCAGCCAUGCCGCGUGUGUGAUGAAGGCCUUAGGGUUGUAAAGCACUUUCGUCCGCGAAGAUAAUGACAGUACCGGAAGAAGAAGCUCCGGCUAAAUUCGUGCCAGCCGCCGCCGUAA